GAUGAACGCUGGCGGCGUGCCUAAUACAUGCAAGUCGAGCGAACAGAUAAGGAGCUUGCUCCUUUGACGUUAGCGGCGGACGGGUGAGUAACACGUGGGUAACCUACCUAUAAGACUGGAAUAACUCCGGGAAACCGGGGCUAAUGCCGGAUAACAUUUAGAACCGCAGGGUUCUAAAGUGAAAGAUGGUUUUGCUAUCACUUAUAGAUGGACCCGCGCCGUAUUAGCUAGUUGGUAAGGUAACGGCUUACCAAGGCAACGAUACGUAGCCGACCUGAGAGGGUGAUCGGCCACACUGGAACUGAGACACGGUCCAGACUCCUACGGGAGGCAGCAGUGGGGAAUCUUCCGCAAUGGGCGAAAGCCUGACGGAGCAACGCCGCGUGAGUGAUGAAGGUCUUCGGAUCGUAAAGCUCUUUUAUUAGGGAAGAACAAAUGUGUAAGUAACUGUGCACGUCUUGACGGUACCUAAUCAGAAAGCCACGGCUAACUACGUG
rnacentral:rRNA from 1 species